rnacentral:rRNA from 1 species
CCUACGGGUGGCAGCAGUGAGGAAUAUUGGUCAAUGGACGAGAGUCUGAACCAGCCAAGUAGCGUGAAGGAUGACUGCCCUAUUGGUUGUAAACUUCUUUUAUAUGGGAAUAAAAUGUUCCACGUGUGGGAUUUUGUAUGUACCAUAUGAGUAAGGAUCGGCUAACUCCGUGCCAGCAGCCGCGGUAAUACGGAGGAUCCGAGCGUUAUCCGGAUUUAUUGGGUUUAAAGGUAGCGUAGGUGGAUUGUUAAGCAAGUUGUGAAAGUUAGCGGCUCAACCGUAAAAUUGCAGUUGAAACUGGCAGUCUUGAGUACAGUAGAGGUGGGCGGAAUUCGUGGUGUAGCGGUGAAAUGCUUAGAUAUCACGAAGAACUCCGAUUGCGAAGGCAGUUCACUGGACUGAAACUGACACUGAGGCUCGAAAGUGUGGGUAUCAAACAGGAUUAGAUACCCGGGUAGUC